GACGAACCACACGAACGUUAUUCGGAAUUACUGGGCUUAAAGGGUGCGUAGGCGGCGUAGCAAGUUGGGUGUGAAAUCCCUCGGCUCAACCGAGGAACUGCGCCCAAAACUGCUAUGCUUGAGGAAGAUAGAGGUAAGCGGAACUUACGGUGGAGCGGUGAAAUGCGUUGAUAUCGUAAGGAACACCUGUGGCGGAAAGCGGACUUGCUGGGUCUUUUCUGGACGCUGAUGCAGCGAAAGCCAGGGGAGCAAACGGG
rnacentral:rRNA from 1 species